GCCAGCCAGGAAGGAGGAGGCAGCCAGAGUGUUCUCUGCAGCAGAAGAUCCCUUGCUGCACUGCUUAACCCAGACCAGCAUUUGCCAGAUUGUAUCAUUUGGAAGAAACUCUGGGAUAGAGCAUCUGUUCUUCAUGCAGAAGAUCCCAGGUUCAAUCCUGACAUUUCCAGCACAGUGGUAGUAGCUGCAGCAUGCUUGAAUUAUUAGGCAUUUUCCUGGCAGACUGCUGCUACUGACCCCCACUUUCCCCCAAGAAUCCACUGGUGAAUUAAGUGGCACCAUAACAUUGGAAGUAUUUAAAUCACAUGUGAGAGACCUUUCCUCCCUUUUACAUGGAUACUGAGAAUAAAUUUUACAAAGACAUUUUUGAAGAAAGGUUAACAUCGUGGAAUCAACUAUUCACUUUUGUCUGCCGAAAAGUCUACAGUCUGAUAGAUCUGCACAGCACAUGCACACAAUUUCUAUCUGGACUACUUCAUCUCCCAGGAAGCAGGAGAACUCCAACUUGCAGAUGCAGAUGCUAAGGCAUCCACUGCUGCUGUGGCUGUAGUUGUGGUGGGGUGGGAGCCUGGGAGCCCCACCCCCGCUGUGUUUUUUCCCUUCCUCAUGCUUUCUCCCAACACAAAAUAUGUGUAGCUUUUUGUAUCUGCUACUGGGAAGCAGGAGAGCCAUGCACCAUUCCCUCCCACCCACAUGUAGUGGGAAUGUUUGCACAUCCAGUGGAAUACCCUCUUGCGGGGGUCAGGCUUCUCAAGUAAUCAUAAUGCCUUGAAAUAUGUGUGUACCAAAUUUCACUUGUUUGGUUCAUAACAGUUUCAAAACCCACGUGAGUCUGCAAGGGGGAGCCUAUGUUUUAUACAUCCUUAAGCAUUCCUAAUCUGUAUAGUAAACAGCAAUUAUGCCCUUAUCAAAAAGGUCCAACUCAGUGAAGAUCCUAGACAUCACCCUCUGUUACAGAUGAGGCUUAAACGUACUUUUUAAAAGCCUUCCUGGCUAUUUGGGAUAGACCAGAAUGGGAGUGGGGAGAAUACAGAAGAUAAAAUGAAUGUACACUGUGGCCAAUGUUGGUUUUACAUUCCAGUUUAAACCAAAGCUAACUGAAAUAUUGUUUGUGAAAAAACCCUUACCUUUGCAAAGAAUAGAAAUUUCCAUAGUCAUAGGCCACUAAGAGCUCCUUCAUUGUAUCUCAUCAGCUCUGGUAUUUGUAGAGCACAACAUGAGACUGAGAAAUGGCAUUCCUGACUGGCACUCAUUGAAGAACACAAUUUUUAUUCAUGUACACGUCUCUUUUGUCCUCUAAGCACAGACACACAAAGUAAACAUAGGCCUGUGAAGGUUGCUUCACAUGGGCACUUUCCUUUUCAAAUACAGUACAGAAAAUUUGGUUGGCCUUGGGAGAAGAGGUGUUCUUAUAUUGAAAUUAUUUCAGUGCAACAUGUGGUUAAAAUGAGAACCAAACGACUGUGUGGGAAGGCAAAUGCAUUCAUUCCACAGCCAUGUCAGAACUCUCUUACAAACCUGUAAGUUCUGUGGCUCACACUGAGUCCAACAAGCUAAAUGCAUAAUUGUUACUACUGUGCUGAAUUCUUGCCCACUAAAAUUUGCAAGUUGAAAACAGAUUUUUCAAGGGGUGCAAAAUACCUUCUCAGAACUUUUUUUUUUUUAAAGCAUGUUUUCAACUACAUUAUUCUUCAUCCCUACUGCUUCCUUGGGACCAUUUUUUCCUUCUUUCACAGAAUUAUUCUAGCCAAUAAGGGAUCGUGUAAUGACCAAGAUAAUGAUGUGACACUAUAUAGCCAAUCAUAUUUGAUUUUGUGGCAAUGCCACUGUGGACAAAUGGAACUGUGUUGCCCUCACUGGGACAAGAGGAGGAAAGCAGUCCUGGUUGCCAAGGCAACUGGCCUUGUGCUCCUCCUUGUGCACCUGUUGCACCAUACACCAUGAUGAAAUCACUGCAGUGCAGCAAGCCAGGAUGGCAUAAGAACACUCGCCAUUUUGUCAUACUGCAUUACAGUAGUUUCAUUGCAGCUCAGCAAGACAAGACAGGAAGCAUCCGCCCGAUUGCCUUGACACUGGGGACCAAUUCCCUACCCCAGUCAAAAGUUUCAGUGCCUUACUAGGGCUUCCCUAAACAUUGCUGAAAGGGGGUAGGGUGGGGUACCUUUUGAGGAUACAAAGAUAUCUAUGAAUCAUUGCCCCUCUGUUCAGUUCAGCACUGAAAACUGUACCUACCUAGCUCACUCAUGCAUGUGUGGGACAUUUACAUAGUGGAGUAGAUUAAUUUCUCAUCUGCAUACAGCAUCAUUUCACAUAUAGCUUAGGGUAAUUAAUGUUCUUGCAAGUUAAAGUGCUACCUAAUUAUUUUUCUUUUCUUGUCCUGGAGGGAAAGAAGUGGAAAUUGUUUAAUUUAUGAAGACAUUUUUGUAUCAGGUUAAUGCCAAACAAUAUUAUGUUCAGUUAGUUUCUUGGCGAUACACUUUUUUUUGCGGGGGGGGGGGUGUUUGUAACUAAAGUCUUACUUUCUGUCAAUCUAUACUCUACAGUGUCUUCCCUGUCAACAUGGUACUGAAACAUACCCUAGAGGGACCUUUUUAAUAUUCACGGAUUUUUUUCACACGGAGGCAUUACCAUACACAAAUUCUGUAUCUUUGAAAGUGAAACUUCAGCAAAUGAAUGUUAAUAGAAAAUGUGCAAGCUCCACAGGAAGGAAAUUAGUGCCAUUUUCUUCCGGGAUUUACAAAUUCCACAAUUGAUGGCUGAACAUUAAAAGCAUAAAGAGAACCCUGACAAAAUGGUCAAAACCUUUUCUGGAUAAUACUAGGCAGCACUUUAUCUGGGAUAUACUGUAGUUGUCAGGAACCUUCCAUCAAUGUAUCUGUCUGAUAUUCAGCUAUUAGCUGAGCUGCUGUGCUUUGUAAAUAGAAGAUUUGUGAAAAUUCUAAUUGUUCAAAGUGAAUAUGAUUGUGUCCAUACAUUGACAUUUCUGUAAAGUAAGUAAAGGUUUAGUAUAUAUGGAGAGGAAAAUCUCAUACAUGGGAUGGGGUCAGGAAAGCUUUAGUAGUGUUAUCACAGUUAUGCAUUGUUGAUAGAUCCUUUUAAAAAAACCAUUUAGUUUUUAUUGGCCAACAUUCAAACUAAUGAAGUGUGCAUGCUGUCCAGGACAGGGACAAUUUUGGUCCCCUUCCCUCUGUAGCUAAGUGACACCCCCCUACACACACACACACCCCAAAUAUCUCAGUGCAGGAGGGCGGGGUCAAACAGACCUCAGGGACAUACAUUUGGGAGUCACAGUUGCCUACAAAGUUGGCUUUUAUGGUUUUGCCCUAUUCUUUUUAAUGAGGGAAGGAUUCAGAAGGGGCCCCUAGAUGCCUUUAAUUGAAGAUCUUUUCAGCCCUGCCUCAGCUUGGGUGGGGGGAGGAGGGUCAGGCAGCAUCCCUUCCUCCUCCUCUCCUUAUGACUCAGAGACAUUGGCCGCUGAGCCAGUUCUUGGCUUCUGAGCCUGUUAGUCAAGCUGAGGGAAGAGUGGGCUGAACCAGAGCACUAUUCAGGAGAAGAGGAAGAGGGAGGGAUCCUGCCUGAAACUCUUUUCCUGGAAAAGACUAAUCUCAUUUGAAGCUAAGAUGAGUCCUCAGAUCAGGAGCCAAAAGUGUGCCAAUGAGUGAGGGACACAGGGGGCGGACAGAGAGCAAGCUGUAAUUCCUUCCGUCAGCAGGCCCAAGAACAUUUGCCCCACCUAUAGCUACACCCGAAAGCAUUAUUAGAAUGAGAUUUUAUUUUCAGUCUCUGACAUACCAUUUCAGCCAAAUGGAGUCCAAUAUUCUUCAAGAAAAGCCAGUAAGGUCAU